rnacentral:rRNA from 1 species
GAUGAACGCUGGCGGCGUGCCUAAUACAUGCAAGUCGAGCGAACAGACGAGGAGCUUGCUCCUCUGACGUUAGCGGCGGACGGGUGAGUAACACGUGGAUAACCUACCUAUAAGACUGGGAUAACUUCGGGAAACCGGAGCUAAUACCGGAUAAUAUAUUGAACCGCAUGGUUCAAUAGUGAAAGACGGUUUUGCUGUCACUUAUAGAUGGAUCCGCGCCGCAUUAGCUAGUUGGUAAGGUAACGGCUUACCAAGGCAACGAUGCGUAGCCGACCUGAGAGGGUGAUCGGCCACACUGGAACUGAGACACGGUCCAGACUCCCACGGGAGGCAGCAGUAGGGAAUCUUCCGCAAUGGGCGAAAGCUUGACGGAGCAACGCCGCGUGAGUGAUGAAGGUCUUCGGAUCGUAAAACUCUGUUAUUAGUGAAGAACAAAUGUGUAAGUAACUAUGCACGUCUUGACGGUACCUAAUCAGAAAGCCACGGCUAACUACGUG